rnacentral:rRNA from 1 species
GGAUCCAGACUUUGAUUAUGGCUCAGGAUGAACGCUAGCUACAGGCUUAACACAUGCAAGUCGAGGGGAAACGAUAUUGGAAGCUUGCUUCCGAUAGGCGUCGACCGGCGCACGGGUGAGUAACGCGUAUCCAACCUGCCCACCACUUGGGGAUAACCUUGCGAAAGUAAGACUAAUACCCAAUGACGUCUCUAGAAGACAUCUGAAAGAGAUUAAAGAUUUAUCGGUGAUGGAUGGGGAUGCGUCUGAUUAGCUUGUUGGCGGGGUAACGGCCCACCAAGGCGACGAUCAGUAGGGGUUCUGAGAGGAAGGUCCCCCACAUUGGAACUGAGACACGGUCCAAACUCCUACGGGAGGCAGCAGUGAGGAAUAUUGGUCAAUGGGCGAGAGCCUGAACCAGCCAAGUAGCGAGCAGGAUGACGGCCCUAUGGGUUGUAAACUGCUUUUAUAAGGGAAUAAAGUGAGUCUCGUGAGACUUUUUGCAUGUACCUUAUGAAUAAGGACCGGCUAAUUCCGUGCCAGCAGCCGCGGUAAUACGGAAGGUCCGGGCGUUAUCCGGAUUUAUUGGGUUUAAAGGGAGCGUAGGCCGGAGAUUAAGCGUGUUGUGAAAUGCAGACGCUCAACGUCUGCACUGCAGCGCGAACUGGUUUCCCUGAGUACGCACAAAGUGGGCGGAAUUCGUGGUGUAGCGGUGAAAUGCUUAGAUAUCACGAAGAACUCCGAUUGCGAAGGCAGCUCACUGGAGCGCAACUGACGCUGAAGCUCGAAAGUGCGGGUAUCGAACAGGAUUAGAUACCCUGGUAGUCCGCACGGUAAACGAUGGAUGCCCGCUGUUGGUCUGAAUAGGUCAGCGGCCAAGCGAAAGCAUUAAGCAUCCCACCUGGGGAGUACGCCGGCAACGGUGCAA